rnacentral:lncRNA from 14 species
AUGUCUGAAGACAAAGACAUAGCCCAAAAGACGAAAUAUAGGGAUGAACAGUCCUUGAAGAAAGAUGAUGCCAACCUAGCCUCAGCAAGCACAGAGCCCCCUAAGACCUCUCACACUGGAACUAUGCCUCUCCAGCCCAGUAUUUUGACUAGAGAAGAAGCAAACCACCCUCAAGAGAAAAACUCUACUUUAUGUGCACCAGAGGAGGAAAAUAAAGCCCAUACUGCCCCAUCUGAGGGCAGCUCGUUACACCAAGCCCAUAAGGGAGAGCCUGUCACUCGCAGUAGCAGGCACGAUGUCUGGGUGCAGACGGAAGGCUCUGUGACACAAGUAAGUAAGGUGGAUGCUGCCACCCAGUGUGGCCCUACAGCGGUGUGCAGCUGUGGGCGCUCCCUCCCCUCUGCGCCUAGCACCGUUAGAGGACACAAAAUGCCAGCGCAGGACGAGCUGCAGCCUCCGGGCUCCGGCACUGCAGCAGCACCCGCCGCGUUUUCUCCUGAAAGCGAGUAUCUGAGUUUAGCUGGCAGAACGACGCUAGAGGUGCUGAAUUACAUUGAUAUAAUAAAGGAGAGAGAAAAGCAGUGACCAGCUAGGACAGCACGUAAGGAAUACAGAAGUUUUGUCCUGUUCUCAGUGUGCUUCAUUUAAUUGGCUUAUUUGGAUUUUUCUAUCCUGCUUGGACAAAAUGUUGGGUUUUUUUCUGUUUUAUUUGCUUUGUAUUAUUAUUAACUAUGGAUUUCUAUCUAUCUCCUGCUAUCUUUAACUGUGAAUUUCUAUAGAUCUCCAACUAUUAACAUAGGAUUUUACAAUAGCUUAGUAAAUAUAACUGUAGGAAUUAUUUUGUCUUCCCCACCAUAUAGUUGUAGGAUUCUGUAGUCUGGGAUUGACUUUGCCUCUCUUGAAGGAAGUACAAAGUUCUGUUUCACUUCAGAACCUAUUUAUUUGAUGUGGCUCUUAGUUCAGAACUAUUGUCAGAUUUUUAACCAUUUUAACAGACAAAUUAGCCUUUGCUGCUUGUUUGGACUAAAUACAAAAAUGGAAAACAACAGAAAAUGUACAUCUGCACACAUAGAUUAGAAUGUGAUUUUAAAAGAACUGAUUAUUUAAUUUUUACCAAAACAAACAAAAAAUUUUAUUAUUUUCCCUUUCAUAGCAGCCUUAUUGAUUCAUUCUCUGUUAAUACUGACAGAUCUUGUAUGUGUUUCUGCAUUUUCCCUGCAGGUUGAAAAUCUGAAAUGCUUUCCUCUUCAGUAUUUGUGUGAAGUUAGAAAUCUCAACAAAUAAAAGUUCC